rnacentral:hammerhead_ribozyme from 1 species
AUCUAGUUGAUGAGUCCCAAACAGGACGAAAUGCGCAUCCUGGAU